ACAACCAUAAGUCUGGCUCCGCCACUGUGAACCAUGAAAUAACAACCAUAUGCAUAAGAUUAGGAUAGUUGGUACUUAGUAUACUGUAAAAUUAAGGGUUAGCACAAUCAAAUAGAAGGGCAAAACUCAAGAUUAUCCAAGAAUUAGCUAUAUCUUUUUCCUCAUACCAAACGUGCCCAAAAGGUGUUUAGGCAUAUUAUGCCUAAGUGGUUGAUUCAAAUACACCUAAUUGUGUGGUUGGAUAGUUGCUUUCAGCGCAAUCAUUUGCCUCAGAAGCUUUUGAAGUGAAUGGCAAACAAAGUCUACUAGCAAAACGUGAGAAGGUAGAUGUCCCAGCAUCUUCACCCAUUGACCCCUGCUGCCCAGGUGCUACAGGCUAUGGAAAGUAUUAAGGUUUUCGCCCAAGAUGGCAUGGCUAAUGCAGGUGACUUAGAUAUCUCCUGAGCAAAAUUAUCUUUCUACAAAGUAAUUGGCUUGGUAGCUUUAGCUAUUAGGUCAAGUCGGGUCAUCUAUUAAACUUAUGGGUUGAUGGAUUUUAAAAAGGUCAAAUCCAACGAUAGGAUCUCAAACUUGUCUCGAAAAUUUACUUAAAUCCCUAAAUUAAGGCUUGUACCUAUCAGACCCCUAAACCCCCGAAUUUUAUUUUAAUUGAACAAUUUUUGCCUACAUGGCAUACCGUGUGCUGUCUACUCUCUGGAGGCGCGUGAGUAGUAUUUUUUUUACUAAAUUUUGAAUAAAAAGGUGCCACAAGGCACUGAGGGCCCCAAAAAAUUAUUAAUAAAACAAAAAUUAAAAAAAAAAAACCAACCAUAUAUAUCCCUUCCCCCCGCCCCUCCGACCACCCCAUACCCCCUCUUCAUCUUCUUUCUCUUUUUUUUCUUCUGAAACUUAAUUUUGUUCAUCAGUUGAAAAACAAACAGUAAACUUGAUGAGUAAUUGAAUCGAUUUCUUAAUCAAUUUCAACUUUAAGUUAAUUCCCUUUUCAAAAAUCAAUUUCUUGAUUGCACUGUGAUCUUAUAUAAUUUACUCGUAAUUCCAAUGUGUUUUCAAUUUCAAGUGAUGCAAUUUUAUCCAAAUUGAAUGAAUUGGAUACCCAAAUUAUUCAAGAAUCUGGAAAAGUGAAAGAUAUGGACACCCAAAUUGCAAAAUAUGGACAGCCAAAAUGUCCAAAAAGUGAAAACAUAGACACCCAAAUUGUUCAAGAAGAUGAAAAGGUGAAAAUUUUGAAACCCCAAAUUGUCUAAAAAGUGGAUAAAAUAGACAACAAAUUUGUUCAAGAAGCUGAAUUGGUGUUGGUGGCGAUGAAAUUUAUCAUCUCCAUCUACUUCUCCAUCGAACAAAUUCUAUUAUUUUUCUUUCACGUUCAUGGUGUGUGUGUGUUUUCCCCAUGUAUGUGUAUUCUGUGGUCUGUGGUGUGUAAGUGUGUGCGUUAUUGUGUAGAAGAAGAAAAAUUAAGAUGAUGAUGUGGGUUUGUGCGCAUGUUUUGUGUGUGCGGAGAGUAAAUUGGGGGGUGGGGUAAGGGACUGUAUAUGUGGAGAAGAAGGUUCAGCAUUUAGAAAAAAAAAAAAGCAAACACGCGCUGAUAAUGUGAUGAAACAUGGGGAAAAAAUGUCCAAUUGGAUCAAAAUUCGGAAGUUUAGGGGUCUGAUAGGUACAAGUCUUAGUUUAGGGGUCUAAGUGAAUUUUCAAGACAAAUUUGUGGUCCUAUCGAUGGGUUUGGCCUUUUAAAAAAGAAUUAUACACGUG
rnacentral:lncRNA from 1 species